rnacentral:rRNA from 1 species
CCCGGGCCUUGUACACACCGCCCGUCACACCAUGGGAGUUGGAGGUACCGGAAACGCCUUUGUAACCCGCAAGGGAGCUAAGCGUUUAUGGUAUGGCCGAUGACUGGGGUG